rnacentral:rRNA from 1 species
UACGGAGGGGGCUAGCGUUGUUCGGAAUUACUGGGCGUAAAGCGCACGUAGGCGGCUUUGUAAGUUAGAGGUGAAAGCCCGGGGCUCAACUCCGGAAUUGCCUUUAAGACUGCAUCGCUAGAAUUGUGGAGAGGCAAGUGGAAUUCCGAGUGUAGAGGUGAAAUUCGUAGAUAUUCGGAAGAACACCAGUGGCGAAGGCGACUUACUGGACACAUAUUGACGCUGAGGUGCGAAAGCGUGGGGAGCAAACAGG